CAAAUUAAAGCUUUUAUAGUUUUUCAUUUACAUUGAAACGAGUCUUUUAGUAAGAUAAUUUGA
rnacentral:tRNA from 1 species